UUUUGAGCGUUUCUUGUUGUAAAGAAACAUCGCGCGCCCACGCAUCGCGCGAGACGCGAGCUAUUACUAGAGUGUGUGUCGCCGGCCCUGGGGCAAGGUUGCCUGGAAAAGUGCAAAUAAUACCGCACAUCAUAAAAAUUGGUUAAAACGAAGGUAUUCCACAGAAGUCGGCACUGGAGGCGUGAAUUUUGUAAUAAGUAGUAAUACGAGUAUAAGUGUCAAUUACGAGUUUUGUAUGAGAUAAUUCGGAAUUAAAUGUUUUAUUUUUCCUCA